rnacentral:rRNA from 1 species
UACGUAGGUGGCAAGCGUUGUCCGGAUUUACUGGGUGUAAAGGGCGUGCAGCCGGAGAGACAAGUCAGAUGUGAAAUCCACGGGCUCAACCCGUGAACUGCAUUUGAAACUGUUUCCCUUGAGUGUCGGAGAGGUAAUCGGAAUUCCUAGUGUAGCGGUGAAAUGCGUAGAUAUUAGGAAGAACACCAGUGGCGAAGGCGGAUUACUGGACGAUAACUGACGGUGAGGCGCGAAAGCGUGGGGAGCAAACAGG